GUGGGGCAGGGCUGCUCCCAGCUCCAGACCAGCCUGGGCACAGCUCCGGAUGACAGUUCCCAAAAGAAGAAUGUGAGCAUUCAUAACAAAACUGGAGCAAAGAAGCCCUUAGACCUUCUCCAAGGGUUGACUCAAGGGUAUCUAACAGGCACAACUGACUCUCCUAAUGGAUGUUCCUGUUAAAUAUCCUAGUUAAUCAACCCUAAUAGAUGGUUGGAAUUGGGGGCUGGAUGUGCCCCAUCCCCACUGGGACACCUGGAAGCUUCCAAUAAAGGUCCCCAUGUUUGGCCAGAGCAAAUGUCCAACAGCAGCUCCAUCAGCCACUUCCUCCUGCUGCCAUUGGCAGACACGCGGCAGCUGCAGCUCCUGCACUUCUGCCUCUUCCUGGGCAUCUCCCUGGCUGCCCUCCUGGGCAAUGGCCUCAUCAUCAGCGCCGUAGCCUGCGGCCACCACCUGCACACCCCCAUGUUCUUCUUCCUGCUCAACCUGGCCCUCACUGACCUGGGCUGCAUCUGCACCACUGUCCCCAAAGCCAUGC